rnacentral:rRNA from 1 species
UUCGAAAGAAAGAUUAAUACCCGAUAGCAUAAUGAUUCCGCAUGGUUUCAUUAUUAAAGGAUUCCGGUAAAGGAUGGGGAUGCGUUCCAUUAGGUUGUUGGUGAGGUAACGGCUCACCAAGCCUUCGAUGGAUAGGGGUUCUGAGAGGAAGGUCCCCCACAUUGGAACUGAGACACGGUCCAAACUCCUACGGGAGGCAGCAGUGAGGAAUAUUGGU